UCCUACGGGAGGCAGCAGUGAGGAAUAUUGGUCAAUGGGCGAGAGCCUGAACCAGCCAAGUAGCGUGAAGGAUGAAGGCUCUAUGGGUCGUAAACUUCUUUUAUAUGGGAAUAAAGUUUUCCACGUGUGGAAUUUUGUAUGUACCAUAUGAAUAAGGAUCGGCUAACUCCGUGCCAGCAGCCGCGGUAAUACGGAGGAUCCGAGCGUUAUCCGGAUUUAUUGGGUUUAAAGGGAGCGUAGGUGGAUUGUUAAGUCAGUUGUGAAAGUUUGCGGCUCAACCGUAAAAUUGCAGUUGAAACUGGCAGUCUUGAGUACAGUAGAGGUGGGCGGAAUUCGUGGUGUAGCGGUGAAAUGCUUAGAUAUCACGAAGAACUCCGAUUGCGAAGGCAGCUCACUAGACUGUCACUGACACUGAUGCUCGAAAGUGUGGGUAUCAAACAGGAUUAGAUACCCUGGUAGUCC
rnacentral:rRNA from 1 species